rnacentral:tRNA from 1 species
AUUUAAGUAAUUUAUAUAAAAUAUUGAUUUGUGGUGUCAAAAAUAUACAACUGUAUCUUAAAUA